UACGGAGGGGGCAAGCGUUAUUCGGAAUUAUUGGGCGUAAAGGGCGCGUAGGCGGCUAGAUGUGUCAAAGGUGAAAUCCCUCGGCUCAACUGAGGAGCUGCCUUUGAAACUGUCUGGCUUGAGGCCGGGAGAGGGUAGCGGAAUUCCCAGUGUAGCGGUGAAAUGCGUAGAUAUCCGGAGGAACACCAGUGGCGAAAGCGGCCACCUGGACUGUACCUGACGCUCAAACGCGAAAGCUAGGGGAGCGAACGGG
rnacentral:rRNA from 1 species